GGUUUUCACUUUUUCUCCUGUUUCAGCCUCCUCCUUCAGAUCUGACUCCAAAGACCGGCUCCUCUCUCCUCUCUCUCCUUCUUCAGAUCUGCUCGGGUUUUCACUGUUCUCCCUCGAAGCUGGUCGUUCACUCGUCCCUCGAAUCUCGUCGCCGACUCCUCCCUCGAAGCUCGUCAUCCCUUGAAGCUCGUCGUCCCUCGAAGAUCGUAGUUUACUCCUCCCUCGACUGUCCCUCUCGAGUCAUCAAAAUAUAAUUUUGCACGAGAUCUGAUCUCAUCCCUUGCGGAUCUGUAAUUUCAAUCGGCUUCAUUUAAUCGUCAGAGAGUUGAAGAAACUAAUACGAGAAGGUGUGCGGUUUUGUAAUGUAAAAUGUCUAUUGAGCUGCCCUUUUAUUGGUAAAUUCUUUCCAGAUCUAGCAAAAGAUCCGCACACCAUGAAGAUUUUAAGUUCUAUGAAGAAAGUUAAUGGUCCACUUGCUGUUGAAGUAAAUUAUGCUAUUACUUGAAAACUGAUGAAAGAGCUAACUUUGUUGAAUCAUUUAAUUGACUUGCUGAAAAGUGGGCCCACCAUCCCAUGGAGGGGCAUGUUUUGAGUUUAAGAAAGUUGAAGAUGAAUAUUCAAAGCUGCAAUUUGAGCAUAAUUGACAUACAAACUAAUAACUUGCUCAAAAUGGGUGGAGAAAUAAUCCAUUCUCAAAAGUUCAAUCAAAUAUCCAAUGCUGUUGUACUUUAUGAACUCCUUAAAAAACUCUUUUAAACAUGUGAUUGCAAGUUGACUUUCCACAAAUGUUUCCACCAACAAAGGCUUCAGCAAAGCUUCUAUAGUAAGUCUUGAAAGCUUCUUAGAAAAAGAAAUGGCUGCAAAAACAACAAAUCUAGUUCGAUCCAGCUCUCCAAACAAACCAAGUGCUUCCUGAAAAUUUAGGACAAAUGCAUCCAAGGAAUCUCCCAUGGAUGGCCACUUUCUAAUCAUCCUUUGAAGAAACAGCACCAUGUUCAAAAUAGAUGUGGUUUUAGUAUCACAACCUAAAACAAAAAAAAGAAUGUUCCAAAGGGCCCGAGCUGGUAUUGCAUCCCAAAAACAAAACCUGUAAAAAAACAUAAAGUUGUAACAACACUGUAUAAACCUAGCUAUACUUCAGAGAUUUUGCCGUUAAGAGGCAAUACUUUGCAAUUUACCUCAAUAAAAGUAUCACCAUUGUCAGCAAGAGGACGUAGACCAGUCUCGAGGUCAAUAACUACAUCAUUCUACACAUAAAUAAGCAAAUAUAUAUAAAUUAUAACACAACAAGUAACAAGGCUUUAAAAGACAUUGCACUAUGAUCUACAAAUAAAAAAGAGCAUUUCAUAUUAAGUACCAAAUUCCCUUUAUUACGAACAAAUAAUUGCACCAAAUCAACAACAUAUUUAGUGUCAUCAAACGAGCGACGCACGCACACACACAUCAAAUGAGCAAUUAUCGAGAAACCUUAAUUAUGAAAUGUGUGUGCACGCGCGUUUAUAUUCUGAUGUGUGUGUGUGCGCGCGCACGUCGCUCGUUUGAUGAGACCAAAUAUGUUGUUGAUUUUGUGCAAUUAUUUGUUCGUAAUAAAGAGAAUUUGGUACUUAAUAUGAAAUGCUCUUUUUUAUUUGUAGAUCAUAGUGCAAUGUCUUUUAAAGCAUUGUUACUUGUUGUGUUAUAAUUUAUAAAUAUUUGCUUAUUUAUGUUUAGGAUGAUGUGGCUAUUGAUCACGAGACUGGUCUACUUCCUCUUGCUGACAAUGGUGAUACUUUUAUUGAGGUAAAUUGCAAAGAAUUGCCUCUUAACGGAAAAAUCUUUGAAGUAUAGCUAGGUUUAUACAGUGUUGUUACAACUUUAUGUUUUUCUUACAGGUUUUGUUUUUGGGAUGCAAUACCAGCCCGGGCCCUUUGGAACAUUCUUUUUUUGUUUUAGGUUGUGAUCCUAAAAGCACAUCUAUUUUGAAUAUGGUGCUGUUUCUUCAAAGGAUGAUUAGAAAGUGGUCAUCCUUGGAAGAUUCCUUGGACGCAUUUGUCCUAAAUUUUCAGGAAGCACUUGGUUUGUUUGGAGAGCUGGAUCGAACUAGAUUUGCUAUUUUUGCAGCCAUUUCUUUUUCUAAGAAGCUUUCAUGACUUACUAUAGGAGCUUUGUUGAAGCCUUUGUUGGUGGAAACGUUUGUGGAAAGUCAACUUGCAAUCACAUUUUCGAAAGAGUUUUUUAAGGAGUUUAUGAAGUACAAUAGCAUUGGAUAUUUGAUUGAACUUUUGAGAAUGAAUUAUUUCUUCACCCAUUUUGAGUAAGUUCUUAGUUCGUAUGCAAUUGGCUUUAUGGUUGUCACUUUUGCUCCUCAUGUUUUGUAGUUCUUCAGCAAUGUUGAAUAUGAAGAUCUGGUCACCCAGAUGAGGCUUUGUCUUUUGAAGGACGAGUUAUUGAAGCUGCAACCAACUGAACUUUCUACCAAGUUGGCUGAGGUGAGAGAGAUGGUUCAGCCACACCCAGUGAGCUAGGUUCUUCCAUUUAUAGUUGAAGUAAUUCUUUGUCCGGAGGAGCUGUCUUCACUUGCUGUCGAUAAGCGGGAAAAGUUUGUCAAUACCAAGGUAAAAGCUUCUACUUAGAGACAGUUUGUGAUGAUGAAGAAGCUUUUCAGCUAGAACUUAUUAAAUCCGUUCAAAACUUUUGCCUUCAGAUAAACUUUGAAUCAUGCUUUUUCUUAUGAUUCUUGAAACUUUGAAUCAACAAGGUAUUCUUGCUGCAAAAGUUAUUAUAAGCUGGUUUGACUUGCAAAGCGGAGAUUUGGCGAUGGUGGGAUGUGUGGAUGCAAUGCGAAGCUUUAUCAAUUGUCUUCAGGCAAUUGGAGAGCAUUGUUUAUACUGUUUGAAAUUGUGAUAAUACUGCUGUUUUUUAGUAGUGGCAGUUUUGCUCACUCUUUGAUCUUUGUGUGGUGAAGUGCACCUUGCAGUGAUUACAUUGGCAUAUACUGUGGUACUCUUAUGAAACAGGCUUAUACUGUUACACUCUAUUCUGUUAUGAUGUCCAACAAUGUUAUGGAGUCUGUCGAUACCAAUUUGAUUUGAGUUUUAUGUUUUAAGGUGGAUGUGUUAACAAUUUUACUUUUAACUGUUUGAAUC